UCCCGCCCUGUGGAGUCAUCUCAUAAGCGUCUCUGGAAGCGCAUCAUCGGGUAGCCGAAUAACACUUUGAAGUUAAGGCUGUGCAGGGCACAAACGGUAGCCUCAGCUUGGACAACAGCUUGCGAAGAGAGAAGUUACUGAGACAAAAUGGCAGAGAACAGAUGGAAUAACGACGACUUUGAAGGUGAGCCAUUUGAAUUCGAUAGCCGUCCGUAUUUAUUCGAACCCGAAUACACGGAUGAAGAGCUGCGGGAGCGGGACGAAAGGGCUGCCAGAGAGCGACAGCGUGCGGCCGACGCAACCACUGACCUAGCACCUCGGGAAAGUGGUGGUGUACCUGCCACUGUUGUGAGGUUCUGCCAACAGAAGAUGAGUGUCGAUGUUGCCGGGAAUGGGACCUUUUGGGGAAUGAAACUCCGGAAACUCGUGUGGCAUUAACCGAAGAGUUCUCUUCUCUAUCAAACCUGGCUGUUCUGGAAACGUUUUUCCAUCUCCCAAAAAUAAAUUGGAGCCGGAGACCAGUGGCGGUUUUAGGCACGGGCGAACCAGGCAGCCGCCCGGGGCGGCAUAUUUGUUGGGGGCGCCAAGUCACAUGGGGGGCGCCACGAGCAGUAAAAAAGAAAUCGCGCUGCGUAGCGGUUAUCAAUGAAGUACUACAUAACAUUGUGUUGGGAAUAGGUAUUUUGGCGCCCCCUCUGGCUGCAGGCGCACACCUGCUCGUUGAGAAGGUGCCGUGCGCAGAUGGAAUGAAACCCCCCCCCGCUUGAAGAUAGUCUUGCCCGGGGCGCAACUGGACGUAGAACCGCCACUGCCGGAGACCCAUACCUGAGGGGUCAGAUGGACAUCUAUCCGCUGACCAUUGCAGACUUGUGGCGUACCGUGUUGUUUUGGAGUGGGGGCAAAAAGGAGAGCGCCUAGGACGCGUUGAACGACGAAUCCUGCCAAGCUGUGUGGUAACAGCCAUUAGUAGGAAAUACCCUUCACCAAGUGGAGUUUACCAUGGGUUCCAGGAGGCAGAGGAUGCUUCCAGUAUUAUGUAGGAAUGUAAAUUAAAACGAUGGUAUCACAAGGUGAUAAUGUUAAAAGAAUAGUGAAACUAUUCACCCUUUACAAGU
ensembl:lncRNA